AGCGCGAGGCAGAGCCCGCGCGGGGGAGGGGCGGAGCGCGCCUGAGGAGACGGGAGCCAGCGUGAAAAGGAGGAGCGAAGCUAGCGUGAGGCGGAGCCAACGUAAAGAAGACACAACCAACAUCAGCAGGAUGCCACAAUGCCUGCAGGAGGUCAACACCAGGAUGAAAGCCCUCUGGCUCAAACACAACUUACACAAGACAGAAAAGAUCCUAAUCAUUAACCUCACCUCACCUCAAAGCAUUUUCCUUGUAAGAAAAGAGGUGACCAAAUUGCAAGAGACUCCAGAACAAAGCCCAUUGGACUAAGUAUUAUUGAAACUCCCAGGAGAGAAUGACAAGUUUGACAAACUGCAGUGUCCUCGAAGAAGCAAGAAAUGCCUUAUGUUGCCGAGUCAUUGACUAUUUCAGGUAUUGAUUGCCAGAAAGUGAAUUGGCUUUUGACAGCUUCCCUUCAUCUGAACAUAUGAUGGCCUAGAUUUUACAGAAGCACAGAUUGCUUUCUAAUUGACCAUUGAG